GAUGAACGCUGGCGGUGUGCCUAAUACAUGCAAGUCGAGCGAACAGACGAGGAGCUUACUCCUCUGACGUUAGCGGCGGACGGGUGAGUAACACGUGGAUAACCUACCUAUAAGACUGGGAUAACUUCGGGAAACCGGAGCUAAUACCGGAUAACAUGUUGAACCGCAUGGUUCAACAGUGAAAGACGGUCUUGCUGUCACUUCUAGAUGGAUCCGCGUCGCAUUAGCUAGUUGGUAAGGUAACGGCUUACCAAGGCAACGAUGCGUAGCCGACCUGAGAGGGGAGACGGCCACAGUGAACCUACGACCCGUUCCGAACCCUGAGGGGGGCCAGAAUAGGGAAGUCGUCCGCAUGGGCGAAAGCCUGACGGAGCAACGCCGCGUGAGUGAAGAAGGUCUUCGGAUCGUAAAACUCUGUUAUUAGGGAAGAACAAAUGUGUAAGUAACUAUGCACGUCUUGACGGUACCUAAUCAGAAAGCCACGGCUAACUACGUG
rnacentral:rRNA from 1 species